GACGAAGGAUGCAAGCGUUAUCCGGAUUCAUUGGGUUUAAAGGGAGCGUAGGUGGCCUUAUAAGUCAGUGGUGAAAUCUUCGAGCUUAACUCGGAAAUUGCCAUUGAUACUGUAGGGCUUGAGUACAGAUGAGGUAGGCGGAAUUGACAGUGUAGCGGUGAAAUGCUUAGAUAUUGUCAAGAACACCUAUUGCGAAGGCAGCUUACUAAGCUGUAACUGACGCUGAGGCACGAAAGCGUGGGGAUCAAACAGG
rnacentral:rRNA from 1 species